rnacentral:rRNA from 1 species
UAAGGAAUAUUGGUCAAUGGACGAAAGUCUGAACCAGCCAUCCCGCGUGCAGGAAGAAGGGGCUCUGCCUUGUAAACUGCUUUUGAAUGGGACGAAAGAGCUAUAUGCGUAUAGUGUUGACGGUACCAUUAGAAUAAGCACCGGCUAACUCCGUGCCAGCAGCCGCGGUAAUACGGAGGGUGCAAGCGUUAUCCGGAAUUACUGGGUUUAAAGGGUGCGUAGGCGGUGAUAUAAGUCAGUGGUGAAAGGCCGUAGCUUAACUAUGGGAUUGCCAUUGAUACUGUAUGACUUGAAUCAGGAUGAGGUUGGCGGAAUGUGGCAUGUAGCGGUGAAAUGCUUAGAUAUGCCAUAGAACACCGAUUGCGAAGGCAGCUGACUGGACCUUGAUUGACGCUGAGACGCGAAAGCGUGGGGAGCAAACAGGAUUAGAUACCCGGGUAGUCCCUGAG